rnacentral:rRNA from 1 species
UACGGGGGGGGGCAAGCGUUGUUCGGAAUUACUGGGCGUAAAGGGCUCGUAGGCGGCCAACUAAGUCAGACGUGAAAUCCCUCGGCUUAACCGGGGAACUGCGUCUGAUACUGGAUGGCUUGAGUUUGGGGAGAGGGAUGCGGAAUUCCAGGUGUAGCGGUGAAAUGCGUAGAUAUCUGGAGGAACACCGGUGGCGAAGGCGGCGAUCC